AAGACCUUGCGCUUUUGGAGCGGCCGAUGCCUGAUUAGCUUGUUGGUAAGGUAAAAGCUUACCAAGGCUUCGAUCAGUAGCUGGUCUGAGAGGACGACCAGCCACACUGGGACUGAGACACGGCCCAGACUCCUACGGGAGGCAGCAGUGGGGAAUUUUGGACAAUGGGGGUAACCCUGAUCCAGCCAUGCCGCGUGAGUGAAGAAGGCCUUCGGGUCGUAAAGCUCUUUCAGCCGGAACGAAACGGUUACGGUUAAUACCCGUGACUACUGACGGUACCGGAAGAAGAAGCACCGGCUAACUACGUGCCAGCAGCCGCGGUAAUACGUAGGGUGCGAGCGUUAAUCGGAAUUACUGGGCGUAAAGCGUGCGCAGGUGGUUUUGUAAGUCAGAUGUGAAAGCCCCGGGCUCAACCUGGGAACU
rnacentral:rRNA from 1 species